rnacentral:rRNA from 1 species
AGAGUUUGAUCAUGGCUCAGAUUGAACGCUGGCGGCAGGCCUAACACAUGCAAGUCGAGCGGUAGCACAGAGAGCUUGCUCUCGGGUGACGAGCGGCGGACGGGUGAGUAAUGUCUGGGAAACUGCCUGAUGGAGGGGGAUAACUACUGGAAACGGUAGCUAAUACCGCAUAAUGUCGCAAGACCAAAGUGGGGGACCUUCGGGCCUCAUGCCAUCAGAUGUGCCCAGAUGGGAUUAGCUAGUAGGUGGGGUAACGGCUCACCUAGGCGACGAUCCCUAGCUGGUCUGAGAGGAUGACCAGCCACACUGGAACUGAGACACGGUCCAGACUCCUACGGGAGGCAGCAGUGGGGAAUAUUGCACAAUGGGCGCAAGCCUGAUGCAGCCAUGCCGCGUGUGUGAAGAAGGCCUUCGGGUUGUAAAGCACUUUCAGCGGGGAGGAAGGCGUUAAGGUUAAUAACCUUGGCGAUUGACGUUACCCGCAGAAGAAGCACCGGCUAACUCCGUGCCAGCAGCCGCGGUAAUACGGAGGGUGCAAGCGUUAAUCGGAAUUACUGGGCGUAAAGCGCACGCAGGCGGUCUGUCAAGUCGGAUGUGAAAUCCCCGGGCUCAACCUGGGAACUGCAUUCGAAACUGGCAGGCUAGAGUCUUGUAGAGGGGGGUAGAAUUCCAGGUGUAGCGGUGAAAUGCGUAGAGAUCUGGAGGAAUACCGGUGGCGAAGGCGGCCCCCUGGACAAAGACUGACGCUCAGGUGCGAAAGCGUGGGGAGCAAACAGGAUUAGAUACCCUGGUAGUCCACGCCGUAAACGAUGUCGAUUUGGAGGUUGUGCCCUUGAGGCGUGGCUUCCGGAGCUAACGCGUUAAAUCGACCGCCUGGGGAGUACGGCCGCAAGGUUAAAACUCAAAUGAAUUGACGGGGGCCCGCACAAGCGGUGGAGCAUGUGGUUUAAUUCGAUGCAACGCGAAGAACCUUACCUGGUCUUGACAUCCACAGAACUUAGGGAAGGUGCGAAUAAGCGGGGAAAUUCUUCUCGGCUGACUCAGUCAUUUCAUUUCUUCAUGUUUGAGCCGAUUUUUUCUCCCGUAAAUGCCUUGAAUCAGCCUAUUUAGACCGUUUCUUCGCCAUUUAAGGCGUUAUCCCCAGUUUUUAGUGAGAUCUCUCCCACUGACGUAUCAUUUGGUCCGCCCGAAACAGGUUGGCCAGCGUGAAUAACAUCGCCAGUUGGUUAUCGUUUUUCAGCAACCCCUUGUAUCUGGCUUUCACGAAGCCGAACUGUCGCUUGAUGAUGC